CUUAUUUCAUGAUUGUCGAAUGUAGUGCGAGUUAUAAAUAGACAAUUUUUCCCUUAAUUUUUUUUCUCCCCUCUUCCUGCAUUUUUGGGUUGACUUUUUGGUCUAGAAUUGGAGAAAAGGGAUCAAAUUUGCAAUUUCAUAGCAGUUUUGGGUAAUACUGAUGAUAUUACAGCGGAGGGAUAGGGGGUGUAAAGUGUCUUUCUGCAGAGCAAUCAUUGUGUCGGAAGUGAGAUUUUCACCCCUGUCAACUUCAAAUCCGUGUAGCAAAAAAUCUAAACGGUCAACCCCCUACAAAAUUAUGAUGAGGAGAUUGCCAAAUGUUGUCCCCAUUGUGCCUAUAAAGAUUGGAACCAACGGAAUGUUGAGCAAAAAGCUACAGCCUGUGAUGUUACAGUCAUUUAACAUUGAAGUCAAUGGGCAAAUAAUUGCUAGUCUGACUCCUGAUGAUAAAGAAGCAUGGCCGACUCGGGAUGUUGAUAUUUUUUCAACGGCUUAUUUCCUGAAGUUUUGAAUGGAAAGUGUCAGAAAUGGUGCCAGGGCAAUGUUUCAUAGAGUGGAAUGAUUGACCUCAACACAAGUAUUAAAAAAAAAAGAAGCAAAACAGUUUCAAUAUUGGAUGUAUAUGCAAAUCACCCAGAAAAAGAUCAUGUAAUAACAAAAGAAAUUAUAAAAGAAAAAAAGGAAGAAGAAAUGGCUGGAAAAAAUGAUGAUAGAGCAGCUUUUUCUUGUUACCCACCUCGGAAGAUCAAGUUAGAAAGGGCUAUUGAUAUUGUGGAGACGUUUUCUCACAGAUCUUGCUUAUCAGACAAAGACUAUGCUGGAACACCAUUGAAAGAGUAUUUGCUGUAUGAUAACAACAAGAAAACCCAAGCAUCAAUUUAUUUUAUACUUCUGGGAAAGAAUGCAUUUGACCCAAUUUUUAAAUAUUUAUUUUUUGUUAUUAAUGUUAAAUUUUCUUCCAAAACACAAUUAGAUUUUAAUUCUCUUCAGAAAUGUAUGUAUAAUAUAGCAAGUAAAGUGGCAUAUAAAUCACUUAGAAUUUGGUCAGAAAUCAUAAAGUAUUUAAUAGGCAUUACUAGAAACCAAAUGUAGAUCAAAUACA